UGGGGAAUUUUGGACAAUGGGCGAAAGCCUGAUCCAGCAAUGCCGCGUGUGUGAAGAAGGCCUUCGGGUUGUAAAGCACUUUUGUCCGGAAAGAAAUCCUUGGCUCUAAUACAGUCGGGGGAUGACGGUACCGGAAGAAUAAGCACCGGCUAACUACGUGCCAGCAGCCGCGGUAAUACGUAGGGUGCAAGCGUUAAUCGGAAUUACUGGGCGUAAAGCGUGCGCAGGCGGUUUGCUAAGACCGAUGUGAAAAUCCCCGGGCUCAAACCUGGGAACUGCAUUGGUGACUGGCAGGCUAGAGUAUGGCAGAGGGGGGUAGAAUUCCACGUGUAGCAGUGAAAUGCGUAGAGAUGUGGAGGAAUACCGAUGGCGAAGGCAGCCCCCUGGGCCAAUACUGACGCUCAUGCACGAAAAGCGUGGGGAGCAAAACAGGAUUAGAUAACCCUGGUAGUCCACGCCCUAAAACGAUGUCAACUAGUUGUUGGGGAUUCAUUUCCUUAGUAACGUAGCU
rnacentral:rRNA from 1 species